rnacentral:rRNA from 1 species
AUUGAACGCUGGCGGCAGGCUUAACACAUGCAAGUCGAGCGGGGUGAUGGUGCUUGCACUAUCACUUAGCGGCGGACGGGUGAGUAAUGCUUAGGAAUCUGCCUAUUAGUGGGGGACAACAUCUCGAAAGGGAUGCUAAUACCGCAUACGUCCUACGGGAGAAAGCAGGGGAUCACUUGUGACCUUGCGCUAAUAGAUGAGCCUAAGCCGGAUUAGCUAGUUGAUGGGGUAAAGGCCUACCAAGGCGACGAUCUGUAGCGGGUCUGAGAGGAUGAUCCGCCACACUGGGACUGAGACACGGCCAAGACUCCUACGGGAGGCAGCAGUGGGGAAUAUUGGACAAUGGGGGGAACCCUGAUCCAGCCAUGCCGCGUGUGUGAAGAAGGCCUUAUGGUUGUAAAGCACUUUAAGCGAGGAGGAGGCUCUUUUGGUUAAUACCCAAGAUGAGUGGACGUUACUCGCAGAAUAAGCACCGGCUAACUCUGUGCCAGCCGCCGCGGUAA